rnacentral:lncRNA from 10 species
AGUUGCCUGCUGAGUAGACAUAAACACCUGCUAAAGAAAUGUGAAAAGAGUGGAAACGUGCUAUUUGGAGGUUAUUUUCCUAGUCGACAUCCAGGAGAUCUCCAGAGAUCUAUUUCAGCCCCACCUGUUGGCUCUCGCUCUGAUGCCCAGGCUGGAGUGCAGUGACAAGAUCAUAGCUCACUGUAGCCUCAACCUCCCAGGCUCAGAUUUCAUCAUGAAAAGGAGGAAGCUCAAACUGAAGUGAGUUAAAAACUUCAUCUCCUAGAGAGGACUGUGGCUCGGCCUGAGUUGAGUUUUUUUAUGUUUAUGUGCAAGCGCAAUGAAGAAGAACACCAGCAAGACUACCAUGAGGAUCAAUAAGCAAGAUGCUCUCUGCACCCCACACUCCCAUGAUCCGAGAGAUCUUCAAAAUAUGUUGGAUGGAGGAGAGUAUGCCCCUUUUGUAUCUCCUCCCAUGUUAGAGAGCAAUUUUAUCCAGGUCAACAGAAGAGGUGAAUCCAUUUACCUUCAUAACCGAGCCAACUGGGUGACCGUAGGCAUCUGUUUUUCCAG